rnacentral:tRNA from 1 species
AAAGAGACGAAGAUAAGUCAUUGCACACACAGAAGUAAAGAAGAACAUCCAUAUGUACUGAUCUACCGAUCAGGUGGGAGAAAGUUGAGACUUAACCUCUUUGACAGAAUAACGUCGGGCCCAAAAGGGCAGGGAAGCUGUAGUUUCCUGACCCAGGAAGAGCUCAAAACGGAACUGCCCCCUCUGAGGUUCGAACUCAGGACCUUCAGAUUAUGAGACUGACGCGCUGCCUACUGCGCUAAGGAGGCAGGUGUCACAGACGCCCUCAGCACAAAGUGUUCACUGCGGAUCUUACUUUGCUCCAAUUCGGUUCUUCCCCGGAUUACCUUCCUCUACACUUCGGAAACGAGAUGCUCCCUGCAACAGCUUGUAACCCCGAGGCCGACGGAGAAAGCAGGCGUUGAUGCGACUGCCUCGGCUCCCCUGGUCCAAGUUGACGACCCCGCCCGGCACGAGGGGGACAUUUCCUCGCUGUACCCUCCUGGACGCGCGCUCGCUCACGAGCGGUGAGUCUGCGCAGGCUGCCCGCACCGAGGCUCUGCCCUCCCAUCGGCGCGCGAUCUUCGGGACGCGGACGAGUCCCUCCUGCUGCCGCCCUUCUCGGGAGAGGCCCGCCCCGGGAGACUCCCUUCGGCCUUCGGACCCGCGGGACGCUCGGUGCAGAGCGCGGCGCCCGGGCGGGGUGUGCGGGGGGGUGUGCCCGGGCGUCCGGGCGUCCGGGUCUCCGCGCCGAGGCUGCCUGCUGGAUACCCCUUCCCGCGCCACAGGCGGCUGGGAGCUCCGGGGCUGGAGGCACCGCGGCGUUAACACCAGGGCCGCUGUCCCGCGCAGUCCCUCCUCUGCACCUGCAGUGCCGUCCUCUUUGGGGUCCCGCGAGCUGCGGCCUGUGGUUCAACGAGGCGCGCGCUGCACGCGGCGUCCCCCGGUGACUUCGCUCCGCGAGAAAUUGCAAGGCGAGGACAUACAAGACGGGACAUUUCUAUGCUGUGUAUUGGCCUCUUGCACCAUGGAGCUGAUUCCAACAGAUGAACUCGCUCUCUACAAUAUGGCACCAAAUUGAGUCGUGUGUCAAGAUACAGCAACAAGAACAAAUUUCCCCCAGCUCCUAUGUACUAUUAUUUGAAGCAUAGCAUGGAAAACCUUCUUCCUGAUUAGUAUGUAGAUUUAAUUAAAACUUCCAGAUACGGGAUCCCUGGGUGGUGCAGUGGUUUGGCUCCUGCCUUUGGCCCAGGGCGCGAUCCUGGAGACCCGGGAUCGAAUCCCACGUCGGGCUCCCGGUGCAUGGAGCCUGCUUCUCCCUCUGCCUGUGUCUCUGCCUCUCUCUCUCUGUGACUAUCAUAAAUAAAUAAAAAUGUUAAAAAAAAAUAAAUAAACA